CGGACGGGUGAGUAAUGUCUGGGAAACUGCCCGAUGGAGGGGGAUAACUACUGGAAACGGUAGCUAAUACCGCAUAAUGUCUGCGGACCAAAGCGGGGGACCUCCGGGCCUCGCGCCAUCAGAUGAACCCAUAUGGGAUUAGCUAGUAGGUGGGGUAACGGCUCACCUAGGCGACGAUCCCUAGCUGGUCUGAGAGGAUGACCAGCCACACUGGAACUGAGACACGGUCCAG
rnacentral:rRNA from 1 species